rnacentral:lncRNA from 10 species
GCUAUCCUCAGGGGGACCUAGGAGUCUGGCUCGCAGCCCCUCCUUCCUCAGACCCAGGAGUCCAGGGCCCCAUCCCCUCCUUCCUCAGACCCAGGAGUCCAGGCCCCCAUCCCCUCCUUCCUCAGACCCAGGAGUCCGGGCCCCCAUCCCCUCCUUCCUCAGACCCAGGAGUCCGGGCCCCCAUCCCCUCCUUCCUCAGACCCAGGAGUCCGGGCCCCCAUCCCCUCCUUCCUCAGACCCAGGAGUCCGGGCCCCCAUCCCCUCCUUCCUCAGACCCAGGAGUCCGGGCCCCCAUCCCCUCCUUCCUCAGACCCAGGAGUCCGGGCCCCCAUCCCCUCCUUCUUCAGACCCAGGAGUCCAGGCCCCCAUCCCCUCCUUCCUCAGACCCAGGAAUCCAGGCUAUCAGCCCAUCCUCCCUCAGACCCAGGGGUCCAGACUUCCAGCCUCCUCCUCCCUCAGACCCAGGAGUCCAGGUCCCAGCCCCUCCUUCCUCAGACCCAGGAGUCCAGGGCCCCAUCCCCUCCUUCCUCAGACCCAGGAAUCCAGGCCCCCAUCCCCUUCUUCCUCAGACCCAGGAGUCCAGGGCCCCAUCCCCUCCUUCCUCAGACCCAAGAGUCCAGGCCCCCAGCCCCUCCUUCCUCAGACCCAGGAGUCCAGGCCCCCAUCCCCUUCUUCCUCAGACCCAGGAAUCCAGGCUAUCAGCCCAUCCUCCCUCAGACCCAGGGGUCCAGACUUCCAGCCUCCUCCUCCCUCAGACCCAGGAGUCCAGGUCCCAGCCCCUCCUCCGUCAGACCCAGGAGUCCAGCCCCCUCCCCAAGACCUUCAUCACCUGGCACUGUGCAGGCCCACAGCUGACGGCGAUGACCUCCUUCACCAGCUUCUUCUCCUUGAGCCGCACAGCCUCCUCCACCGCGAUCUCACAGAAGGGGUUCAUGGAGUGCUUCACACCAUCCGUGACCAUCCUAACCUUGUGAUCCACCCGCCUCAGCCUCCCAAAGUGCUGAGAUUACACGUGUGGGCCACCGCGCCCGGCCCACGCCUGGCUAAUUUUUUUAUUUUUAGUAGAGAUGGGGUUUCGUCAUGUUGGCCAGGCUGGUCUCGAAUCAUGGAGAAUGUGAGUCACUCCCUCCACUCAGUUAGGUUGGCUCCUUGAACUUUCAUCUCUAGCAAACAUACUUUCCUCUCCCUUUCUAGUUGCUAAGUAUAGGGGAAAACACAGCAAAACACAGGGACCUGGGGCCUGUGAUUUUAAGGAGGCAAGCAGGGAAGUCCUCCCAGAGAAGGUGAUGUUUGAAAAGGAGGUG